rnacentral:rRNA from 1 species
CCCUUAGAUGUCCUGGGCUGCACGCGCGCUACACUGAUGUGUCCAGUAAGCACCUAACCUCUUCCGAAAGGAACGGGUAACCUUUGCAAAGCACAUCGUGAUGGGGAUAGAUUAUUGCAAUUAUUAGUCUUGAACGAGGAAUUCCUAGUAAGCACAAGUCAUCAGCUUGUGUUGAUUACGUCCCUGCCCUUUGUACACACCGCCCGUCGCUCCUACCGAUUGAAUGUUCCGGUGAAAUCUUGGGAUUUUGUUUUGUUUGCAUUUAUUUGUAUCGAGACGAGAGAACUUGAGUAAACCUUACCAUUUAGAGGAAGGUGAAGUCGUAACA